UACGUAGGCGGCAAGCAUUAUCCGGAAUUAUUGGGCGUAAAGAGCGCGCAGGUGGUUGAUUAAGUCUGAUGUGAAAGCCCACGGCUUAACCGUGGAGGGUCAUUGGAAACUGGUCGACUUGAGUGCAGAAGAGGGAAGUGGAAUUCCAUGUGUAGCGGUGAAAUGCGUAGAGAUAUGGAGGAACACCAGUGGCGAAGGCGGCUUCCUGGUCUGUAACUGACACUGAGGCGCGAAAGCGUGGGGAGCAAACAGGAUUAGA
rnacentral:rRNA from 1 species